GAUUGUUAAGGGCAAACUUGCCGAAAGGCAAGGAUGCAAAGCCAUAGGGCCUAAGAUGCGUAAGCAUGAUGAUAGCAUGGCCGCCGCG
rnacentral:ncRNA from 1 species